rnacentral:lncRNA from 1 species
UAAAUAAUAACAUUGCAAAUCGUCCCAUAUUCCCUAAUAUCCCUUUCUUCAAUGAGCCCUUUCCUUAAUAUCUCCAUUCGCAAAUCACCCUACUAAAUAGCCAGAAUUUUCUUUAACAUCCCCACAUCCCUUUCUUUGUUAACAGAUUUAUAAAUCAAAACCAACCCACCAGUUAGUUAUUAUCUCAUCUACGUCUUACGUGAUAGUUUAACUUCUGUUCACUCGAUUCAAUAUCUAAGGCAUACGUAUAUAAUCACUCGAAAGCAUAAAGGACUUGAUCUACAUUUUACUUACUAUAUUACUUAAAAACAAUAUCCUUUUCUUUUGAAUUAACAAUCAUUUGUCGAUUGAUGAGAAGAACGACUCACCAGCCGAUGUGAUUGUUACAAAGGAAUUCAAGGUGGAGGUCGAAGCCGAUCAAGACGAAAAAAGAUUGGCCGAAGAAGUCUAAAUACAUGGAGUUUGGGUAAAAACGGGGUUCUAAUGCAACAAUGUCUAUUACUUUAAUGAAAAUGUAAUAACCAAGUAGAAGUCCCAUGUCAAAGGUAACAACAAGAUUUUAAUUUUUUUGUUAUGGCCAUUUGUAUGAUUAUCUACAGUAGUCUAAUCCGAAAUUGAAAGAUUCAUAGCAACUACAUUGGUUAUGAAACACCAGAACAAUUGAUAGCCCUAAAAAAAGUUUAGUAUGUUCAAUGUGCAACACGAGGAAUGUAAAUGUAACUUCAUUGUAGAUAUGAUAAACAAACCAACUUUGAUGGAGUUGUGUGGAUCUUGCUAAUUUUUUUGAUUUAGUGGCUGAUUCAUUUGUAUGUAAUGUUGGUUCAUUUGGUCAUUUCUUUAAACACUUUUCAUGUGUUGUUGUAUAGUGAGGAAAAAGCAAAAUGA